rnacentral:rRNA from 1 species
GGGAAAGCGGGAGGGAGUGAGACCACAUGCAAGUCGAACGGCAGCACAGUAAGAGCUUGCUCUUACGGGUGGCGAGUGGCGGACGGGUGAGGAAUACAUCGGAAUCUACUUUUUCGUGGGGGAUAACGUAGGGAAACUUACGCUAAUACCGCAUACGACCUACGGGUGAAAGCAGGGGAUCUUCGGACCUUGCGCGAUUGAAUGAGCCGAUGUCGGAUUAGCUAGUUGGCGGGGUAAAGGCCCACCAAGGCGACGAUCCGUAGCUGGUCUGAGAGGAUGAUCAGCCACACUGGAACUGAGACACGGUCCAGACUCCUACGGGAGGCAGCAGUGGGGAAUAUUGGACAAUGGGCGCAAGCCUGAUCCAGCCAUACCGCGUGGGUGAAGAAGGCCUUCGGGUUGUAAAGCCCUUUUGUUGGGAAAGAAAAGCAGCAGGUUAAUACCCCGCUGUUCUGACGGUACCCAAAGAAUAAGCACCGGCUAACUUCGUG